rnacentral:lncRNA from 1 species
GAUGGAUAAGGAAGAAAGGAAAUGAUGACGAAUAAAGAAAGAAAAAGAAUGGGGAUGGGUCAGGAAACGAGAGAAAAAACAUGUGUUUAAAAAAAGAGUAUUAUAUUAACUACAAUUCUUGAUUUUUAAAGACAACUACAAUAUUCUUGGUUAACAAGCCAAUUAAUUAUUAAUCCACAAUACUAUUCAUUAAUCUCUUUUUUCAUAUGAGAUCACUCUAUAAAUUAAGAGAAAAAAAUCAACUAAUAUGUAAAACAAAGUUAAAUGGUAAGCGUAUAUUGGACAUUUGAAAUUUCUUACCAAUCUUACACUUUCAUAGCUAUUCCAACCAAACGGUUUUCAGCGUUCUCACAGCUUACAUGUCGCAGCAGCUUUUUUCACAGCUCACAGCCUAUAGCAGCUUUUCCACAGCUCACAGCCCAACAAAACAGACCCAUAACUUUUGCUAUAUAUCUAGACAUAGCAUAUAUCUAGAUGCAUAGUAAAGUUUAUGUAUUUAGAAAAGUUUAAACGAAUAGUAAUUUAGGACUGAGGGAGUAUAUUGGGCCAAGGCUUUUGUAGCUGGAGUGCUGGACUACCAAAUAAUCAUGUUAUACAGGCUUCUAUCUGUACAAUCUUAUUAUGCUUCCAGUUAUCCCCAAUUGCUCUUUCUUUUGUCACUCAUAAAGUUUUACAUAUGCGAAGAAAAUGGAGUGCGUGCCGAAACAAAGAUGAACAGGAGCACACCUCCACAAUAUACGCUAGUUCCACUGCAAGUUCGUGGUAGAUUACUUCUUCACCCAAAAAAGAUCAUGACGUGCAUAACGUGUAUAUUGACCAAAUUGAAG